rnacentral:rRNA from 1 species
UCAUGGCGUCAGGAUGAACGCUAGCUACAGGCUUAACACAUGCAAGUCGAGGGGCAGCAUGGAGUUUGCUUGCAAACUCUGAUGGCGACCGGCGCACGGGUGAGUAACGCGUAUCCAACCUUCCCUAUAGUAGAGGAUAGCCCGGCGAAAGUCGGAUUAAUACUCUAUGUUUUCCGUUGCAGACAUCUAAGAUGGAACAAAGGCUUGCCGCUAUAGGAUGGGGGAUGCGUCUGAUUAGGUAGUCGGCGGGGUAACGGCCCACCGAGCCAUCGAUCAGUAGGGGUUCUGAGAGGAAGGUCCCCCACAUUGGAACUGAGACACGGUCCAAACUCCUACGGGAGGCAGCAGUGAGGAAUAUUGGUCAAUGGGCGAGAGCCUGAACCAGCCAAGUAGCGUGCAGGAUGACGGCCCUAUGGGUUGUAAACUGCUUUUAUGCGGGGAUAAAGUUCACUACGUGUAGUGUUUUGUAGGUACCGCAUGAAUAAGGACCGGCUAAUUCCGUGCCAGCCGCGGC